rnacentral:rRNA from 1 species
AACGAACGCUGGCGGCAUGCCUAACACAUGCAAGUCGAACGAGACCUUCGGGUCUAGUGGCGCACGGGUGCGUAACGCGUGGGAACCUGCCCUUAGGUUCGGAAUAACUCCCCGAAAGGGGUGCUAAUACCGGAUAAUGUCUUCGGACCAAAGAUUUAUCGCCUUUGGAUGGGCCCGCGUUGGAUUAGCUAGUUGGUAGGGUAAAAGCCUACCAAGGCGACGAUCCAUAGCUGGUCUGAGAGGAUGAUCAGCCACACUGGGACUGAGACACGGCCCAGACUCCUACGGGAGGCAGCAGUGGGGAAUAUUGGACAAUGGGGGAAAGCCUGAUCCAGCAAUGCCGCGUGAGUGAUGAAGGCCUUAGGGUUGUAAAGCUCUUUUACCCGGGAUGAUAAUGACAGUACCGGGAGAAUAAGCACCGGCUAACUCCGUG